rnacentral:rRNA from 1 species
GACGAACGCUGGCGGCGUGCUUAACACAUGCAAGUCGAACGGAAAGGCCCUGCUUUUGUGGGGUGCUCGAGUGGCGAACGGGUGAGUAACACGUGAGUAACCUGCCCUUGACUUUGGGAUAACUUCAGGAAACUGGGGCUAAUACCGGAUAGGAGCUCCUGCUGCAUGGUGGGGGUUGGAAAGUUUCGGCGGUUGGGGAUGGACUCGCGGCUUAUCAGCUUGUUGGUGGGGUAGUGGCUUACCAAGGCUUUGACGGGUAGCCGGCCUGAGAGGGUGACCGGCCACAUUGGGACUAAGAUACGGCCCAGACGCCUACGGGAGGCAGCAGUGGGGAAUAUUGCACAAUGGGCGGAAGCCUGAUGCAGCAGCGCCGCGUGCGGGAUGACGGCCUUCGGGUUGUAAACCGCUUUCGCCUGUGACGAAGCGUGAGUGACGGUAAUGGGUAAAGAAGCACCGGCUAACUACGUG